GACGUUACCGACAAGAAUAAGCACCGGCUAACUCUGUGCCAGCAGCCGCGGUAAUACAGAGGGUGCAAGCGUUAAUCGGAAUUACUGGGCGUAAAGCGCGCGUAGGUGGUUCGUUAAGUUGGAUGUGAAAUCCCCGGGCUCAACCUGGGAACUGCAUCCAAAACUGGCGAGCUAGAGUAGGGCAGAGGGUGGUGGAAUUUCCUGUGUAGCGGUGAAAUGCGUAGAUAUAGGAAGGAACACCAGUGGCGAAGGCGACCACCUGGGCUCAUACUGACACUGUGGUAGGAAAAAGCUGGGGAGCAAACAGGAUUAGAUACCGUGGUAGUGCACGCCGUAAACGAUGUCAACUAGCCGUUGGAAUCCUUGAGAUUUUAGUGGCGCAGCUAACGCAUUAAGUUGACCGCCUGGGGAGUACGGCCGCAAGGUUAAAACUCAAAUGAAUUGACGGGGGCCCGCACAAGCGGUGGAGCAUGUGGUUUAAUUUGAAGCAACGCGAAGAACCUUACCAGGCCUUGACAUCCAGUGAACUUACCAGAGAUGGUUUGGUGCCUUCGGGAACAAUGAGACAGGUGCUGCAUGGCGGUCGUCAGCUCGUGUCGUGAGAUGUUGGGUUAAGUCCCGUAACGAGUGCAACCCUUGUCGUUAGUUACCAGCACGUGAUGGUGGGCACUGUAAGGAGACUGCCGGUGACAAACCGGAGGAAGGUGGGGAUGAAGUCAAGUCAUCAUGGCCCUUACGGCCUGGGUUACACACGUGUUACAAUGGUGGUACAGAGGGUUGCCAAGCCGCGAGGUGGAGCUAAUCUCACAAAACCGAUCGUAGUCCGGAUCGCAGUCUGCAACUCGACUGCGUGAAGUCGGAAUCGCUAGUAAUCGCGAAUCAGAAUGUCGCGGUGAAUACGUUCCCGGGCCUUGUACACACCCCCCGUCACACCAAGGGAGCAGGUUGCACCAGACGUAGUUACUCUAACCCACGUGGCGACGGUACGCAUCGAUGAU
rnacentral:rRNA from 1 species